UAUGUUGGAUGCAUUGAAUGAGUGCGUACAGAUCUCUGGACCACUUCUUGAUGAAAGCCAAGUAAGGUGCAUUGUGGAUGAGAUUAAACAUGUCAUAACUGCUAGUUCCUCAAGAAAGCAUGAAAGAAUGGAGAGGUCAAAAGCAGAGGAUUUUGAUGCAGAUGAGAGAGAAUUGCUUGAUGAAGAAAAUGAGCAAGAGGAAGAAGUUUUUGAUCAGGUUGGUGAUUGUUUGGGAACUUUGAUCAAGACUUUCAAGGCCUCGUUCUUGCCUAUGUUUGAUGAACUCUCAUCAUAUUUGACACCUAUGUGGGGUAAGGAUAGAACAGCAGAGGAGAGGAGGAUAGCAAUAUGUAUUUUUGAUGAUGUCGUGGAGCAUUGCCGUGAAGCAGCCCUAAGGUACUAUGAUACCUACCUUCCUUUCUUGUUGGAGGCUUGCAAUGAUGAGAAUCCUGAUGUCCGUCAGGCUGCUGUUUAUGGUAUUGGUGUUUGUGCUGAGUAUGGUGGUGCAGUAUUUCGUCCUCUUGUUGGAGAAGCUCUCUCCAGGUUAAAUAAUGUUAUAAGACAUCCUGAUGCACAACUUCCGGA
rnacentral:misc_RNA from 1 species